rnacentral:tRNA from 1 species
GAAAUAUAACAUAAAAUUAAACUUCUAAUUUAACUAAUAGUGAAUUUAAAACUCAUUAAUAUUUCU